UGGGGAAUUUUGGACAAUGGGCGCAAGCCUGAUCCAGCAAUGCCGCGUGAGUGAGGAAGGCCUUCGGGUUGUAAAGCUCUUUUGUCAGGGAAGAAACGGCCUAGGCUAAUACCUUGGGCUAUUGACGGUACCUGAAGAAUAAGCACCGGCUAACUACGUGCCAGCAGCCGCGGUAAUACGUAGGGUGCAAGCGUUAAUCGGAAUUACUGGGCGUGAAGCGUGCGCAGGCGGUUUUGUAAGUCUGACGUGAAAGCCCCGGGCUCAACCUGGGAAUUGCGUUGGAGACUGCAAGGCUUGAAUCUGGCAGAGGGGGGUAGAAUUCCACGUGUAGCAGUGAAAUGCGUAGAGAUGUGGAGGAACACCGAUGGCGAAGGCAGCCCCCUGGGCCAAGAUUGACGCUCAUGCACGAAAGCGUGGGGAGCAAACAGGAUUAGAUACCCUGGUAGUCCACG
rnacentral:rRNA from 1 species